rnacentral:rRNA from 1 species
CUAAGAAUAUUCCGCAAUGGACGAAAGUCUGACGGAGCGACGCCGCGUGGAUGAUGAAGGCCGUGAGGUUGUAAAAUCCUUUUGUCGGGGAAGAAUAAGCGUGGGAGGGAAUGCCCGCGUGAUGACAUGAACCGGCGAAUAAGCCCCGGCUAACUACGUGCCAGCAGCCGCGGUAACACGUAGGGGGCGAGCGUUGUUCGGAAUUACUGGGCGUAAAGGGCAUGUAGGCGGUUCCGUAAGCCUGACGUGAAAGGCUAUGGCUCAACCAUGGCAUUGCGUUGGGAACUGCGGGACUUGAGUCACGGAGAGGGAGCUGGAAUUCCAGGUGUAGGGGUGAAAUCUGUAGAUAUCUGGAAGAACACCAGUGGCGAAGGCGAGCUCCUGGCCGAUGACUGACGCUGAGGUGCGAAAGUGUGGGGAUCAAACAGG